AUUUUCUGGGCUUCAUGAAUCCCAUCUGCAAGAAGAUGAAUCCACUGUGGCUCUUCCUCUUUCUUAUGUCAGCUCCCAGAGGUGCCCUGUCCCAGGUGCAGCUGCAGGUGUCAGGACCCAGCCUGGUGAAGCCCUCACAGACCCUCUCCCUCACCUGCACUUUCUCUGGAUUCUCAUUAACCAGCUAUGCUGUAGCCUGGGUCCGACAGCCUCCAGGAAAGGGGCUGGAGUGGGUUGGGGGGAUAAAUACUGGUGGAAGCGCAUAUUAUAACCCAACUCUUAAGUCCCAGCUCAGCAUCACCAGGGACACCUCCAAGAGCCAAGUCUACUUAUCGCUGAGCAGCCUGACAACUUGA